GACGAACGCUGGCGGCGUGCUUAACACAUGCAAGUCGAACGAAGUGGCGAUCGGGUGAGUAACGCGUAAUCAACCUGCCCUUCAGAGGGGGACAACAGUUGGAAAUGACUGCUAAUACCGAAUACUGAAGGAGUGGGUUGCGUUGGAUUAGCUAGUUGGCGGGGUAACGGCCCACCAAGGCGAUGAUCAGGAGCCGGUCUGAGAGGGUGAGCGGCCACAUUGGGACUGGGACACGGCCCAGACUCCUACGGGAGGCAGCAGUGGGGAAUCUUCGGCAAUGGACGGAAGUCUGACGGAGCAACGCCGCGUGAGUGAUGACGGCCUUCGGGUUGUAAAGCUCUGUUGAUCAGGACGUGGUACCGGAAUAGAAAGCCACGGCUAACUACGUGCCAGCAGCCGCGGUAAUAC
rnacentral:rRNA from 1 species